rnacentral:rRNA from 1 species
CUACGGGAGGCACCAGUGGGGAAUAAUGCACAAUGGAGGAAACUCUGAUGCAGCAACGCCGCGUGGAGGAUGACACUUUUCGGAGCGUAAACUCCUUUUAUAUAGGAAGGAGAUGACGGUACUAUAUGAAUAAGCGCCGGCUAACUCCGUGCCAGCAGCCGCGGUAAUACGGAGGGCGCAAGCGUUACUCGGAAUCACUGGGCGUAAAGAGCGUGUAGGCGGAUUAAAAAGUCAGAAGUGAAAUCCUAUAGCUUAACUAUAGAACUGCUUCUGAAACUCUUAAUCUAGAAUAUGGGAGAGGUAGAUGGAAUUUCUGGUGUAGGGGUAAAAUCCGUAGAGAUCAGAAGGAAUACCGAUUGCGAAGGCGAUCUACUAGAACAUUAUUGACGCUGAGACGCGAAAGCGUGGGGAGCAAACAGGAUUAGAUACCCUCGUAGUC